GCUUUUCGUGAUUCUUCUCGUUCUUCCUACAAGCGUUUCUUCUUGCGUGACGCGUUGGUUCGAUCGGGAUGACCCUUCGGGAGUGGGAGACUUUGAAACCACUGUCGACUUGAGGAAGGAAUAUCCUGGCCAGCUUUGCCCACAUCCCAUUGGGAUUGAAGCCCAGACUGUGGACGGCAUCCCUGCAGCCAACACAGGACAGACAUUUAAUCCGUUCAACGCUGUGGAAGGCUUCGCUUGUGUCAACGCAGCACAGAAAACUGGUUCCUGUCGGGAUUACAGAGUCCGCUUUAUCUGUCCUCCAGAGUUCUGCGCAGGAUGCACAACCCGUUGGUUUGAUCGGGACGACCCUUCGGGAAAGGGAGACUACGAACUCAUCGUUGAUCUCAGGAAAGAAUACCCGAACGAGAUCUGCACCGAACCCGUAGCAAUCACCGUCCAGACGCUGGAUGGGACCCCCUCCUCCCAGACUGGACAAACCUUUG